rnacentral:rRNA from 1 species
GUCGAGAAUAAUUCGCAAUGGGCGAAAGCCUGACGAUGCGACGCCGCGUGAACGAUGAAGGCCUUCGGGUUGUAACGUUCUGUUGUCCUGGAACAAAGGUGGCUGAUGAAUAUGUGGCCACCUUGAGGGUACAGGAAGAGGAAGCACCGGCUAAUUCCGUGCCAGCAGCUGCGGUAAUACGGAAGGUGCAAGCGUUAGUCGGAAUUACUGGGCGUAAAGGGUGCGUAGGCGGUGAUAUAAGUCGGGCGUGAAAUUCCGGGGCUUAACCUCGGAACGGCGUUCGAUACUGUGUCACUUGAGGAAUGGCGGAGAGAAUGGAAUUCCAUAUGUAGCGGUGAAAUGCGUAGAUAUAUGGAAGAACACCUGUGGCGAAAGCGGUUCUCUAGCUUAAUCCUGACGCUGAGGCACGAAAGCAAGGGGAGCAAACAGGAUUAGAAACCCCGGUAGUCC